AUUACUUUGUGUUUAUAUUUGCAUCCAAAACAUAAGUGCUCAAAAAGUGCAUAUCUGGUUUAUCAUUGUCAUUAGGAAAAUAUAAGAAAAUAAUUUAGGAUACAACAAUUAUUGUUCAGCACAGCAAUUCAUUUCUUUUGUAUGUCACUAUUCCUUCUACAGUAUGUAGGCUUACAUAUUUCAAACCCUUUGUUUUCAGUAGACAAAGACACAAGUUAAUUCAUAGUUCAGAGUGGAUGUUGAUGCAGGUUUUAGAGAGGCUUCAUAUUGACAUAUAAAAUUGGUCUUUGUGGUGGUGUACAUAACAGCAUCUUUAUGUAUUAUGGUUUAAUCAUAAUUUUUUAAAUGAUGGCUAUGUCCAUGAGCUACCACCCACCAUUGUAACGCACCACCAAGCUAGCAUUUUGUAAUAGAAAUCAAUAAUUUACUAUUUAUUUUUGAAGCAUCUCCCCUACAACAUUACAAUGCAUUUAGUAUUUGUUUUGUAUUCAGAUCAAAUUCUACUAAUCAUAAUAACUAAGAUGCAGUGUUUUGUAUUUCACAAUUUAUAUUUUCUUUUGAAAAGGGGCCAUGACUUGUUUUUUAUUUUAUUAUGUGUUUUAUAUUGGAGGCAGAUUACCAUGCAAUUUGAAGAAGUGUGAUAAAAUACACAGAGGUGAAGUCAUUUGUCUUUCCAGAUGCCCAAAUCUGUACCACUCAAAAAGUAAUGAAGUGACAGUGUACCAUGACAAAAAAUUUAAACAUUCUUUAUUUCUUUCAAAGUUGUACUUGGGCCACAGUUUUUUGUAUUUCUAACCAAAACAUUACAUUUAUGAUUGUAUACUAAUGAAAUAUGUUUUUCUUUUUCUGAACUUUAUCAAAUGCAAUGAUAGCUAAGAUGAGCCUGAAGAGGAGAUUUGGGAAGUCUUUGCUUUGCCAGAUCACCUGUGGUCGGGAUGUCUGCUAACAAGAUGCCUUGUUGGUCUGGGCGAGUUUGAAGUCUCUCACAGACAGUCCAGAAGGUCUGGAGUCCAUCUUAGCUUUUAUUGAUGCUGUCAUCAGAUUUUAAGUACAGUAUGAGCCAGAAUGGAAGGGUGUUGGUGGCCAUAAGAAGACUGUGAGCUAAACCUACAACAAAAUUCAUAUUUGCAGUUUUCCUAGAAUAUUUUUUUCUAUUCAGAUGAAUAAAAUUACUUUAAAAUAUUAUUUUGUUUUCAUAUUUUAUGUUUUUAUUCUGUAUUUGGAAUAUUCCACUUCUGCACUACUAACUGGAAACCUAACUGUUUGAAAGAAUUUGUUUUUAUCUAUAAAAGAUCAAUUUUAA